CCGACGGUGAGAGAUGAAAGCUGGGGCACGAACCGGAUUAGAUACCCGGGUAGUCCCAGCCGUAAACGAUGCUCGCUAGGUGUCAGGCAUGGCGCGACCGUGUCUGGUGCCGCAGGGAAGCCGUGAAGCGAGCCACCUGGGAAGUACGGCCGCAAGGCUGAAACUUAAAGGAAUUGGCGGGGGAGCACAACAACGGGUGGAGCCUGCGGUUUAAUUGGACUCAACGCCGGACAACUCACCGGGGGCGACAGCAAUAUGUAGGCCAAGCUGAAGACUUUGCCUGAAUCGCUGAGAGGAGGUGCAUGGCCGUCGCCAGUUCGUACUGUGAAGCAUCCUGUUAAGUCA
rnacentral:rRNA from 1 species